rnacentral:rRNA from 1 species
AUUGAACGCUGGCGGCAGGCCUAACACAUGCAAGUCGAGCGGAUGAAGGGAGCUUUCUCCUGGAUUCAUCUUCGGACGGGUGUGUAAUGCCUAGGAAUCUGCCUGGUAGUGGGUGAUAACGUCCGGAAACGGGCGCUAAUACCGCAUACGUCCUGAGGGAGAAUGUGGUGGAUCUUCGGACCUCACGCUAUCAGAUUAGCCUAGGUCGGAUUAGCUAGUUGGUGGGGUAAAGGCCUACCAAGGCGACGAUCCGUAACUGGUCUGAGAGGAUGAUCAGUAAAAAUGGAAGUGAGACACGGUCAAGAAUACUACGGGAGGCAGCAGAGGGGAAGAUUGGAGAAUGGGCGAAAGGAUGAUACAGCAAAGCAGAGUGUGUGAAGAAGGUCUUCGGAUUGUAAAGCACUUUAAGUUGGGAGGAAGGGAAGUAAGUUAAUACCUUGCUGUAUUGACGUUAACAACAGAAUAAGCACCGGCUAACUACGUG